GCUACCUCCCUCUCUGUGCACAUGAGCAUUCGCUGGGCUACUCCACCACCCUUCACCAGCUGGAAGAGCAAAAGGGGAUGAUUCGCAUCACACCAUAGCAGAUAAGAAUAAAAACUGGAAACCCAUCCAAGCCCUUAAGUUACCUGGUGACUCUGAUCAUCGGCUGAGAUGUCAAUGAUGUGCUCUACACAAAGGCAACACAAAGGCAAUCAGUGGCUCAGAUGAACUUUGGGAAGCAGCUUUGGAGGACAAUGAGGAUGCUGACGGGGGUCCUCUUGCAAAGCGUAGGGAUGAAUGACAACGUGAAAGUGCUCCUUUGAAAUAUUGACAGCCGUACCAUCAAAACUACUGCUGGCUGAGGUGAGGGGCCUCUUGAGAUCGUGCUGUGCUGGAUACUUGGGAAGGGGUUAGAGACUGGCAAGCCAGCGUUAAUAGGCUCUGCUUCUGGCUUCAAAUGACUCACAGUGAUUCUGGAUAAUUUAUUUUACCUCUGAUUGCCCUUUGUUAAAGUUGGUUUCAUAC